UAGCAGUGAGGAAUAUUGGUCAAUAGCCUAACGGCUGAACCAGCAACUUGGAGGAACAUACAGCAAUAGCUGGUUGCAUUAACAAUUAGUUAUUACAAUAUCGACUAUGUCGAAUAAAGUUCUAGGUAGAGUUAUGAUAAUGACAUUUUCUAUCUAUAUGUCUUGACCAAAUCACGUGCCAGCAGUCGCGGUAAUACGUGGAAGACUAGUGUUAUUCAUCUUUAAUUGGUUUAAAGGGUACCUAGACGGUCUAUUAAGCCCCUAAAGGGUACUUACAGACUAGAGUUUGAUGAGAGGGGGGAAGUACGAGAGAGUGUAGAGAUGAAAUUCUGUCAUACCUUACUUGGAACAGGCAACGGCGAAAGCAACUCCUUAUGUAGAAACUGACGUUGAAGGACGAAGGA
rnacentral:rRNA from 1 species